AUUGAACGCUGGCGGCAUGCUUUACACAUGCAAGUCGAACGGCAGCGCGGGGGCAACCCUGGCGGCGAGUGGCGAACGGGUGAGUAAUACUUCGGAACGUACCCAGUAGCGGGGGAUAACGCAGCGAAAGUUGUGCUAAUACCGCAUACGCUCUACUGAGGCAAGAGGGGGAUCGCAAGACCUCUCACUAUUGGAGCGGCCGAAGCCUGAUUAGCUAGUUGGUGGGGUAAAGGCCCACCAAGGCGACGAUCAGUAGCUGGUUUGAGAGAACGACCAGCCACACUGGGACUGAGACACGGCCCAGACUCCUACGGGAGGCAGCAGUGGGGAAUUUUGGACAAUGGGGGCAACCCUGAUCCAGCCAUGCCGCGUGCGGGAAGAAGGCCUUCGGGUUGUAAACCGCUUUUGUUCGGGAAGAAAUCGACUUCGCUAAUACCGGGGUUGGAUGACGGUACCGGAAGAAUAAGCACCGGCUAACUACGUGCCAGCAGCCGCCGUAA
rnacentral:rRNA from 1 species